rnacentral:rRNA from 1 species
GGCGGCGUACUAAGAAUGCAAGUCGCACGGGGCACUCCGCUUCGGUGGGAUGUCGAGUGGCGGACGGGUGAGUAACGCGUAGGAACCUGUCGCUGGGUGGGGGAUAACGCUGGGAAACCGGCGCUAAUACCGCAUGUGGUGCAGUGAUGCAAGAAAGCAGCGAUGCGCCCGGUGAGGGGCCUGCGUCCGAUUAGCUAGUUGGUGGGGUAACGGCUCACCAAGGCGGCGAUCGGUAGCUGGUCUGAGAGGAUGGUCAGCCACACUGGGACUGAGACACGGCCCAGACUCCUACGGGAGGCAGCAGUUAGGAAAUUUUCCCAAUGGGCGCAAGCCUGAGGGAGUAACGCCGCGUGGAGGAUGACGGCCUUCGGGUUGUAAACUCCUUUUCUGCGGGAAGAGCAGCAGACGGUACCGCAGGAAGAAGCCUCAGCUAACUACGUGCCAGCAGCCGCGGUAAUACGUAGGAGGCGAGCGUUGUCCGGAAUUACUGGGCGUAAAGCGCGCGCAGGCGGCGCGAUACGACCGGUGUGAAAGCCCCCGGCUCAACUGGGGAGGGUCACCGGUAACGGUCGUGCUUAAAGUGCAGGAGAGGGAGUGGAACUCCGGGAGUAGCGGUGAAAU